GUGAUCGCUUUGCCAGUACAUCUACUAAAAUUGAGAUGAUACAGAGACAAACAUGCCCCCUGAGCAAGGAUCACACCUAAAUUCAUGAGGUGUUCCUUUUUUCU
ensembl:snRNA U6 U6 spliceosomal RNA